UACGGGGGGGGCAAGCGUUGUUCGGAAUUACUGGGCGUAAAGGGCUCGUAGGUGGCCAACUAAGUCAGACGUGAAAUCCCUCGGCUUAACCGGGGAACUGCGUCUGAUACUGGAUGGCUUGAGUUCGGGAGAGGGAUGCGGAAUUCCAGGUGUAGCGGUGAAAUGCGCAGAUAUCGAGAGGAACACCUGCGGCGAAGGCGGGUUGCUGGGCCGACACUGACGCUGAUGCGCGAAAGCCAGGGGAGCAAACGGG
rnacentral:rRNA from 1 species